AGUAACAACGUGGUGAGUCUGGAGAAGGAAACUGACCCGCCGGGCAGACGAGAGCUGGUGCAGUCAUUGCCACGAUAGAUCCUCCCAGGGACUGGAGUUUACCUCACUGCUAGGACCGAGGUCUGGAAAAGGAUGACUUCCACACCAGGACAUGGAGUCGGAACCCACCCGCGUUGCUGAUCAUUUCAAGUUUAAAGGUUAGGAGAGUCGGAGGCAGAAAGUCAUGCAUAAACCAAUCAAUUGCUGGAAGAAGGAAGGCCCUUCACGAGCUUCUGCACUCCUGUGUUGGAUACCUUUCAUUUCCCACAGCAGGGAUACAUUCAGUAUGGAUAAAGUAGCUUGGAGCAUUUUUACUGGACUUU